UGCCUGGCUCCCUGUAUGCCAC
rnacentral:siRNA from 1 species